rnacentral:rRNA from 1 species
UACGUAGGGGGCAAGCGUUGUCCGGAAUCAUUGGGCGUAAAGCGCGUGUAGGCGGUUCGAUUAGUCCGCUGUGAAAGUCGGGGGCUCAACCCUCGAAUGCCGGUGGAUACUGUCGGGCUAGAGUGCGGAAGAGGCGAGUGGAAUUCCUGGUGUAGCGGUGAAAUGCGCAGAUAUCAGGAGGAACACCAAUUGCGAAGGCAGCUCGCUGGGACGUUACUGACGCUGAGACGCGAAAGCGUGGGGAGCAAACAGG